AACGAACGCUGGCGGCAUGCCUAACACAUGCAAGUCGAACGAGACCUUCGGGUCUAGUGGCGCACGGGUGCGUAACGCGUGGGAAUCUGCCCUUGGGUUCGGAAUAACAGUUAGAAAUGACUGCUAAUACCGGAUGAUGUCUUCGGACCAAAGAUUUAUCGCCCAGGGAUGAGCCCGCGUAGGAUUAGCUAGUUGGUGAGGUAAAGGCUCACCAAGGCGACGAUCCUUAGCUGGUCUGAGAGGAUGAUCAGCCACACUGGGACUGAGACACGGCCCAGACUCCUACGGGAGGCAGCAGUGGGGAAUAUUGGACAAUGGGCGAAAGCCUGAUCCAGCAAUGCCGCGUGAGUGAUGAAGGCCUUAGGGUUGUAAAGCUCUUUUACCCGGGAUGAUAAUGACAGUACCGGGAGAAUAAGCCCCGGCUAACUCCGUGCCAGCCGCCGCCGUAA
rnacentral:rRNA from 1 species